AGGAGUUGCCUGAUAGGUUGGAGAAAGCACAAGGAAGCCAGGGCUGCUGGAACAGAGUGAAUGAGGCGAUCAUGUAGAGUCUUAUAAGCCAUUGCAAAGACUUUGGCUUUGACUUUGAGGUAGAUGAGAAGCUAUUAAGAAAGUUUGAGCAGAAGGAUGACAUGAUCUGAUUUUUCAUUUUAACCAAAGCAACUCUGUAUGCUGUGUUGAAAAUAAGCUACAAUGGGACUUGCAUUGCAGGAAAACCAGUUAGGAGGCUGCUGUAAUAAUCCAGGUGAGAGAUGAUGGUGGCUCGGACCAUGGUGGUAGUAAGGGAGGUGCUGAGAAGAGGUUAGAAUCUAGUUAUAUUUUGGAGGAGAUUGAACAGAAUUUACUGAUAAAUUGGAUGUGAAGUAUUUGAGAAAGGGAGGAAUCAAAGGUGACACCAAGGUUCUGGGCCUGAGCAACUGGAAGAAUGGAGAUGCAGUUUACUAACAUAGUGAGGACUACAGGAGUAGCAGGUUUCAGCAGUGGGCACAGGUGGAGAAGGGAAUUCCAAUGUUGAAAAUUGAGAGAGGUAAGGAUAAAGCUGCAGUGGAGAUUGAGGAGGAGAGGCCAGUGAGGUGGAAGAGGAUCAGGAGUGGAUGGAGUACCAGACACCAGCUGAAGCACAUAUUUCCAGGAGGAGGAAGUGGUACACAGUGUGAAAUGCUUCUGCUGACGUUAUGCUGCCAACAUGAUGCUGUUGAUCACAGAGUUGGAAAGAGUUGCUACCAAUUGGUCCCUGUGAACGAGUGUGAGCUGUCUCCAUCACACCACUGCAGGAAACGAUGACAAACAACAAAAACAAAAAGGUAUGGAAAACUCUCCAGCAGUCACCCACUCCCUACCCCCAAGAUUAGCCCACUCCUCUACGUCUCUUUGGCAAGAUAUUCUGGGACACAGUGAGAAAAAGGAGGACGGAAGUGGGAAUGGUCAGUCAAUCGGAGCCUCAUGAAAGCAAAGCAGAGCAUUACAUUUCAGAAGACAAGAAGGCCACAUAACAAGUCAACCUCCAUCACCUCCAAAGACUUCAUUUAAUAAAAGUUGAAUCAUUUUCACCCGCCCAUAGCAGUUAAAAAACAAAAUUAAUAUAAUAAUAGAAAUUCCUCUGCUUGUCAGUUGGAUGUCUUGAGCAGUGAGGAUAUGUGUGAUUCGUGUCUCAGAUGAGAAACCCUGUGAAUCUUGAACUUUAGUAGAGAAGUUAAAUCACCUUUGUUGGCUCCUCCUUUGGCCAAACUCCAAUUGCUGCAAUGUCUUGGGACUUAGUUCUGGUCCUCUUUUUCUCUCUGUCAUCACCCUUGCUUUCUCCCUAGGUUCUUCCAUCCAGCCCCUGGCUUAAAUUGCCAUCUAUAUCUUGAUAACACCUAAAUUUAUAUCUCUGGCCCAGAUUUCUCCCU
rnacentral:lncRNA from 1 species